rnacentral:rRNA from 1 species
CACGUAGUUAGCCGACCCUUAUUCGUCUGCUACCGUCAUAUUCGUCACAGACAAAAGCAGUUUACAACCCGAAGGCCUUCAUCCUGCACGCGGCGUUGCUCCAUCAGGGUUGCCCCCAUUGUGGAAAAUUCCCUA